CACUAGGGGGCGCAUGCGGCUCCCGCCUGCCGGAAGGCGGAGAGGCAUUCUGACAGCCCAGGCCUCCAGCACCAGACAAGCUGAGGUCCUUGUGGGUCUCCGUCUCCUUUUCUGGGGGUGAGCGGAACCUUGCCCGCCAGGCCCAGCAGCCCCUGGAGCUGGAGCCUGAGGAGCUUCUGGGGCCCUGCCCUGCGCUGACCGGCCUGGCAGCGGGUCUCUGUGUGACUGGUGCGGGGAGGGUACUUGGGCUCCUGGUGGCCAGCGGCACCUGCUUCCUGGGCUACUGGUUCUGGCGAGUGCUGGGGGCACUGGGGGGAGGCUUCGCAGGACUGUGGGGGCCCGGGCGGGGAGGGCCCUGCUGGGCGCUGAGGGAUCCCGGGGGUCCCAGUGGAUCUCCUGCAAGCUUCGCCUCUGCCACCCGCCACUUGCACUCCCGGUUUUUCUCUCCAGAGCUGGAAGAAUUGAUCCCAGCCCUGUUAAACUCUGGGACCGUUCUUCUUCGUGAUACAGAAAAAUCAGGAAAUGGGAAUUGGAUGUGCAACAGACUUCAAGUGAAUUCGGAUCCUUUCACUCCGGAUUCUUUCACUCCGGAUUCUGUUGGGGGUAUGGGGAUGAUUGUUGUAGUGAAGACAUGGAAGCCAGUGCUCAGGAGCUGGGAGAUGAAACGUGGCCUGCUGAGAGAACUGCAGUGACUGAGAGCAAAGCGAGGUUAAGGCGCACAGCAGUUUCAGGAGCUGCAGAAAGUUGCUCUGGAGGUUUUGGUUCUGUGUUUACUGUGUGAAGAGGCAGCAUGGGUGCAUGCACCACAUUAGGUGAUCAGGAAAGCCUUAAGCCGACUCUGCAGUGAGCAAAGAACUCUGAGAGGAGCACAGGCUCUACUGCAGUGCCUGGACGGCUUCCUCAUGCAGUUCCGUAUUUCUCUGUCUGGGCAGAAGAUGGUCCUAUGCUUACACAGGAUGAAUAUUGUCAUGGUGGAAAUUUAGCUGAUACUGAAGUGAAUGAAAACUGCAGAAUCAUAAAUUACUUUAAAGAAGCAGAGUUGAAGGCUCUCCUUUUGCAAGGUAGCCAGGGCUUGAGGUAUAUUCAUUCAAUGUCUUUGGGUCACAGGGAUACAAAAUCUAGUAUUACUUUUACAUCUCGAAUCUCAAUCCCAAAUACUGCCUGUGAACAAGACGGAGAUGACUGGGGAGCCAACAUAAAUAUGUUAAACACAGGUGAUCUUGGACAUGUAAGAAGGAUCUUUAUUCCACAGGUGGAAAAGGGUGAUAGUGGUUUUCUUGCAAAUGAAGCUUUACGGGAGGAUUAUAUCCAUCUACCCAAAGUGAUACUUUUUCACUUGCCCUCACAGUGGUAUGUGCUGCUGGUGCUGAAGCUCUUCCCAGAAAUGGAGACUAGUGCAUGAAUUCACAAAGGCCAGGUUACCUUGCUAGCACAAGUGCUUUCCCGAGAGUUUACAGAGUUGAUAAAUAUUAUGAUUCUUCCGGAUCCAGAGAGAAGAUCUUCAUCC
rnacentral:lncRNA from 1 species